rnacentral:snoRNA from 1 species
AAGCACCUCUGAGAGCCCUGGAGCAGUUAAUGUAUGCUGCUAAGGUUUCCACUACAGCUGCAAGGAAAAGAAGUCCUCAUGCUUUCUGUCUGUCUGUGGCAGUCAAGAUUGAAUGGGGGAAUACAGGA